GAUGAACGCUGGCGGCGUGCUUAACACAUGCAAGUCGAACGGAGUGCUCAUGACGGAGGAUUCGUCCAACGGAUUGAGUUACUUAGUGGCGGACGGGUGAGUAACGCGUGAGGAACCUGCCUCGGAGUGGGGAAUAACAGCCCGAAAGGGUUGCUAAUACCGCAUGAUGCAGCUGGGUCGCAUGACCCUGGCUGACCAAAGAUUUAUCGCUCUGAGAUGGCCUCGCGUCUGAUUAGCUAGUAGGCGGGGUAACGGCCCACCUAGGCGACGAUCAGUAGCCGGACUGAGAGGUUGACCGGCCACAUUGGGACUGAGACACGGCCCAG
rnacentral:rRNA from 1 species